AAAUAUAUAGGCGAUGAGGUUCGCCAAGUAACUGCCUUUAUAAAAAGGACGAUGACCUCUACCAACAA
rnacentral:ncRNA from 2 species